UGAGGCUAAAUGCAAUUUGCAAUAAUUAAUGUGCAAGAUUCUGGGAGCAGAGAAGCAAAAUACUCAAAGAUUUACAGACAGACAACAAAUAGAUUAGUACUGCAAUCAUAAAGUAUAUAUUCUUAGCCAUAGGCCUGCUGCAUAUACCAAACCUUAAGCUUUGGCCAAAGGCCUGCAUAAUAAUACAUAACUACAAAGUACAUACACAGGAAGUCUUCAUACCUAAAACAAGAAAACAGGAAAAGCACACACAGUGUCUGACUUUGACCGCCGGCCCUCACGAUACCUUCCCGGAGCUCGAACACACGUAGAAGGCGAAGAGGGACGCUGCAGAAGCCGAAAUGCCAAAGGAUUGAAGUUGCCCUUUUAGAGAAAUCCACCUCCUCGAGAAGGAGAUUCAGCUACUUUCAACAAUCUUUAUUCUUCCCCAGGCUGCCUUGAAAGCGAGACUUAUAAUGGGGUUAAGUAGAAACACACUUACUUAAUUCAUAGAAAUUAAAAACACCAACAUCAUCAUCCAGACAAGCGAAGAAACUUAAUUAGGCCACCCCCACCAGUUUGGUUCAAGCCAUUGGCAGGAGUGGCCAAGCAUGAAAAGGAGAUGAUGGGUUUGGCCCUGCAGCAGUUUUACUAAGAGGGUUUGAUCACAAAUGUUUGGAUUGAUUGUUAUAGCAAAUUUUGGGUUGGUCAUGAGAGUAAUAA
rnacentral:lncRNA from 1 species